rnacentral:lncRNA from 1 species
UGUGGAUAGUCAUAGAGAUAUUCCAGUAAAGUCCUCUAAUUCCUUGACAAAUCAUUCUUCCAAAACAUUUCUUGUUAACUUUGUGCUGAAUAACUACAUCCUUGCUGUAAUUUGUAAAAGAUGUUGAAAUCAGCAAAGAGAUUGUUACCUCACUUUCAGCACUCUAACAAGUACUUACUAUGUGAUUUGUAAGCAUUUCGUCUGCAUCUAUGAUCAAAAUCUAUUGCCAUUACAUGUAUCUGUUGAAUUUUUUUCCAAGUCAUUGAAAAAUUAAAGAUUACGCAGAAAAUCAAACAAUUAUGAUAGUUGAUGCAACACCUUCAGCAGUUGUUUGAGUUGUUGCAGCAACUUCACCAAUUGCUUGAGUUAAUGCAACAAUUGUUGAAAUUAUCGCAGCAAAUUUGCAAUAUUCAAACAAUUAUUGAAGUUGUAGCAGCAACAUCGACAUUUAUUUAAUUUUUGCAGAAAGUGAGGCAAAGAAGUUGAAGGAAGCAAAAUCUCUGGUUAUUUUUGUGCGAAAACAAAUUACAUGGAAAAAUAGGGAUAAUUGUAUUUCAUAGCCAGUCAGUACAAGUAUAUAAUUAUACCCUGACAUCAGCUGUAAUCACACAACACAUUGAUGGGCUGAAAAUAGAAAUAAGCAGAAUAUAAUUGACAUUAAAACAAAAUACAACUUAAUUAAAUUCAACAUUUAAAAUUCAUCAAGUAAGUUCCCUUCCAUGUCAAGCAAUUGAAUUAGUUGUCUCCUUUCUCUCCUCUCUGCAAAGAUUCAACUUUACAUAGGUUAGAUGAAAUAUUAAUUAUUCCAAAUUUAUGUGACACUUAUUGUUUUUCGAGAGUCAACAAUUUAAGUUUGACCGGAAAUUUGCGUAUGGAAUCUUCAAUUUUUUUGAAAUGAAAUUUAUAUAUUUGUAAACUACGUAAAAAGUACUGUAAGUCACAAUAAUUGACAAUUCAAAAUAAUUAAAAAAUAUAUGAAAAAAUUACGGUCAAAGAUAGACUUAUUUGAAUCUCAAAAUUUGAAAAGUGCCACAUAAAUUGAGACGGAAUACUACUUUUUAAAACCAAUAACUUUUAAUUUUGUGUUACCUCUCUCAGUUGUUCUUCUUUUCUUAAGGUAAAUGCAAGAUCCUGCCAAAACAACAGCCAGUAGUGCUAUAACACCUAUGACCAUACAAAUAAGCUUGGUCUUCCAAGUAAUUUCCCCUGAAAACACAAAAUAGUUUGGUCAAAACUCAAAUAACAGUGCUUUAAGAUUAUUAAUAUUAUAAGAUUAAGAUUUUUAAGUUUUUUUCGAGUUAAUAUCUCAUAUGGUUACUCAACCAAUACUUAUUUUCAUAGAAUAUCACUCAACUUUCUUUUAUAAUCUUAAAAUCACUCAACUAAGGAUUCUUCUUUGGGCAACUUACACAAAUUCCACUACUUUAGGAUCUAAUUACUUAGAUUCACACUAGUUUGCAAUAUUACACUACUUAUCAUAUUUUGGGUCUUGGAUACAUGUAUCUUCUCUUUCAUAUACAUGUAUCUCGUAUCAAUUAGUGUGUCUAAUUAAGAGAUAUAAUUAAAAGUCAUUAAUUAAGAGAUAUGAUUGAAAACCAUUAAUUAAGGAGAAAAUCAUGUUGCAACAACUUUAAAAGAUAUGACAUAUUCCAACUUCUAAAAAAAUCAAAUUUUUUCUCUCUUUUUGGGCGAUUCAGCAAAGUUUAGACUUUUUAACUCAGACACAAACUAUUAUUUAGAUACAUGCAUAUAUUUUGUCAGAUACAUAUACACUGAUAAAAAACUAGAUACAUAUAAUCUUAACUCAAUAAUGUGUUAGAUACGACAAUUAUGUGCUAUAGAUACAUGCGUAAAUCUUCAAUACAUGCGUAUAUUUAUUCAGAUACAUUUACAUUUAAUUAGAUACACUGGUAUAUAUAUAUCUUAACUCAAUAAUGUGUCAGAUUCAUCAUAACUUCAAUCCGAUCCAAAAAUUCACUUUCUCAUUUUCUUCCUCGUUAAGGUUUAUCUACAAAGUCACUCAACAAUUUGAAUGAUUAUCUUACCUACAAAGUCAUUGAAUAAUUGAUAUUUUAUUUAGAAAAUCACCCAACCAAUUUAAAUGAGUUUUUGAUUAAAUUUUAAUGAAAUACAAUUUUUUUUUAAAAUUAUUAUUUAAAGAUAAUAAGAUGCUCAUUUUAAUUAUUUUAAUAAUUGUUUUGAAAACAUAAUUUUUGUUUUAGAAUAAUUUCUUAAAAAAUAAUGAUAUGAUCAUUUUAAUUAUUCUUUUAAAUUUUAUUAAAACUUAAUUUUUGUUUUAAAUUAAUUUCUUAACAAAUAAUAAGAUACUAAUUUUAAUUAUUUUAUUAUUUUUAUAUUGGAUACACAAUAGUGAUUAUUUAUUUAAAAAAUUAGUUUAAAAUAAAAUUUUAUUUUCAGUAAAAUUUAAUAAAAUAAUUAAAAUGAAUAUUUUCUUUUUUUUAAAAAAAUUACUUUAAAAGAAAAUAGUAAUUUCAGAAAAAUUUAAUAAAAUAAUUAAGAUCAUCUUAUUAUUAUUUUUAAAAAUUCAAAACAAAAAUUGUGUUUCAACAAAAUUUAAUAAAAUAAUAAAAUGAGCAUCUUUUUUUUUUAAAAAAAUAAAAUAGUUUAAAACAAAAAUUGUUUUUCAACAAAAUUUAAUAAAAAGAUAUUUAAAUUGAUCGAGUGACUUUCUAAAUGAAAUAUCAAUAGUUGAGUGACUUUGUAGAUAAAAUAUUUAUAUUUGAGUGAUUUUGAUCUUUGAGGUUAACAGAAAGUUGAGUGACUUUUUUGUGAAAAAACUAGUAGUUGAGUAAUUUUCUGUGAGAAGAAUGUUUAGUUGAGUGUUUUGAAAUUAUAAAAGAUAGUUGAAUGAUUUUUUAUAAAAUAAAAUAAAAACUAUUAAUUGAGUAACUAUAUGAGAUAUUAACUCAGUUUUUUUUUUCUUAUUAAAAAUGAUCUUUUUGAAGUAAAAUUAAUUUAACUUGAAAGACGCGGGAACAUAGAAGGCCUCCAUGUAUAAACAAGCUCCUAGAAGUAAAAUCACUGCCUGCAACUUAACAAGUUACCCUUUCGUUUUAAUUUGUUUGUGUAAUUAAUUUUUGAUUUGACAUGGAAUUUAAGAAAAUAAAGAAGAUUUUUAAAUCUUACAGUUUUAAAUUAAAAAUAUGUAGAAUAAGAGACAAAAUCUAAAAUUUCUAGUACAUGAGUGCACAAAUAAAUAACAAUACAUUGGGAAUUAAUUCCUAGAACAUAUGUGUAAUAAUAUUUAGGCGGAAUGAUAUGAUGGACCCUUGUAAUAGUUUAAGGCCUUUUCUCAUAUGGUGGAUAGUGCGUGUAAUACAACUCCUACGUCAAAUUUCACCUCAUUUUUAACUGCCACGUAAGAAAUAAAAUGGUAAAAUUAAAUUAAAGCCCCAAAAUUUUAUUUGAAAAAUCUUUUUCUCUUCUUCCAAUUUUGUUCCAGAUUUCUCUUCUUUAUCCUGUCUCAUUCAAAAGGCUUUCACCAGUAAAAUGCAGUACCAGCAAAAUCGACCGUACACCAUAACGUGGUGGUGGGCUACCACUCGAAGAUGGAGAGGGUGAUUGCGCCACAUUCGAUUUGGAAAAAGUAGUGAUGGCCCCAAACGAUUGCGAUAAUCACUCCAAAACCCUAGAUCUCACAAACAAUCAGUUUUCGUCCAAAUUACUCAACCCUCAGAUUCUCUUCAUUCACUCAUCCUCCAUCCUCCAUGUUUUUAUUUUAUUUUAUCCUCUUUGUAAUUUUGGAUCAAUUUAACUUUUUAGCUUUUAAUAAUUUGUUCAGUUAAGAAAGAAUUUUGUGUUUUGAAGAUUUGCAGAAAUUGAUGUGAUUGAUGGCUCCGGCGAUGUUAAGUUUGGAGGAAACGAAAUACUUGUUGAAGAAUUGGACCGAUAAGUCCAUUUAUUUGUUUGGAACAAUAAAAGAAAUUUGUACUUGUGAAAUUCUUUGUAGAGUAAUAAAGACUGAAUUUGUUCAAGAAAUAAUGAGUCCUUUGAAGAAGAUGAAGGCAACCUGAAACAAUGAAAAAAAUUGAGAAAGAAUUUGGAGAUAAGUAGAAAAGUCCCAAGAAAGCUUUUUUUUUUGUCCAACAAUGGUAAAUGAAUAAAUGGGGAAGAAGAUGACUCUUAGUUAGGUCAAAACUUGACAUUUUCAAUGUUUUUUUUGAAGACCUCACGUUCUUAAAAUAUGUGUAUCACACGCACUUUGAACAAGAAUGCCACAUAGGAUGACAAGUCAAAAAAAGGGGUUUAAAAUAUCAAGUUUCUAUAGGUUCAGGGGUUCAGUUGGUAAAGAAUUAAGUAGAAGGGCCCAGAAUACAAACUCAUACAAGUACAUGGAUCCAUCAGACCAUUUCGCCUAAUAUUUAUACCAAAAUUUAAAAAUAUAUACAUAAGACCGCGAAUUCACGCACCUCAUUUUUAGCAUCUGAAUUCGCCCCUAUGUGGAAUAUAAUAUAUUAAAAUGCCCUUUAAUUUUAAAACAUAAAGUUUUAAACAUAUCAUCUAGAAAAUUCGAAUUAAAGAGUCAUAAAAAUGGAGGAGGAUAUUUAUGUUAAGUUUGCCACACGAAGGCUUGAAGCUCAAGCUUCAUCAAUGGAACAGUAGAGAUAGAGAUGGAGAAUUGGGAAAAUAUCUUCCUUUUCAAAUGUAUAGUGCUAGAUCGAUGAUUAUCUCUCUAACUAACUCAAUAACCACCUCUAAUCAGUUAAUUAAGCAACUAACUAAUACUGAUCCUAGCACAGAACUAAUGUUGUACCUUCUUUCAAACAGAUUAAAGAGAAAAGUAAUCAAGACAAAUAAAUUGAAACAGAAAUAGUAAACGAGAAGAUCUUAUAUAUAUUUUGAAUAAUUACCUUGGUCUUUGUCCCCCGGUGUGGUUGAUGGCGGUGGUGGUGCUCCCGUUCUCCAUUCGUCUUUGCCCCCGGUGUGGGUGAUGGCGGUGGUGGUGCUCCCGUUCUCCCUUCGUCAGGAUUUUUGAAUUGAUAGCUUAAAUGGCACCUCCCUUCAGGCAAGCGCGACAAUCUUCAGCUGACAAAUCUGGUAUACACUGCACCAUGCCAUACAACUUUUGAGAGAACGACAAUGGUGUAAUUUCAUCAAAACUUUCAGCAUAUUUCAGAUUAUUUGUAACUUUAGGGGUAAGAUUAUCAAACAUUGCAUCUGAAAUCCCUUUAACUUGUGUCGUCCAUGAAAAGCUUUCUGAGUUGUAAACGAUCCAAUAAUAAGACGAGACAUUAAACGUGGACGCAAAAUUAGGUAUAUCAGAAUAGCGGACCAAACACUGGUCAUACCAUAUAAUUGCCUGUUUUUUGAGCGGACAUUCACGCUGGAUCCGCUCACUUGCCAUGUCUAUACAUGCAGUUUUGGCAGUCUUUAGGCGCAACAUCUCCUCUACAGAGAUACAAUCCAUGAACUUUAUCACCUACACUGGGAUUUGCAUAGAUGGAAUUGUUAGCAUUAUUGUACAAUAAUCUGUACAACAAUCGGUUAAGAUUGAACUGAAAUUUGCUUCCUUGUGCAUAAUCACUAGUUGUAUUUGGACAAUAGCUUGCCAUAUAUGUAAGUGAUCUCUUCAGGUUUGAUGCACACAAGGAUAUUUGAGAGAACAAACAAGCAAAUUAGUAUCAAAUUCAUUUUUGAUUUUCGAUCCUCUUCCUAACUUGUGUGAUAUUAUGAUCCGUCUCAAAAUACUAAUAGUCCAUUUAAAACGACUUGGCAAAUAGGAAUAUACCACUCAUUACUUUCUCCAAUUUAGUCAAGCGUUCAUACCAUGGUACUAGGAUUUGGGACUUGAAUCGGUCAAAUAGGGAAGUUACCUUCCUAAUUCUAUUUAUUAUUACUUGCAAGUUUUUGCUAAUGCAUAGAUUUUUUCAGCCUGUGUCUGUGUAGGUAUCACUUAAUGCAUAGAUUUUUUUGAGCGAAAAAGAAAACUGAAGGAGGGUAAAGAUCAGAGUAAUAGUGGGUAUGAAUGACGGUGAUUUUUUAAUUUUGAACUUUAGACAGAAAUAAAGCUCAUUUGGCAGCACUAAAUGAUAGGGGUAAUUUUACCAAAUCACCCUUAUUAGAUAUAAGUAAUUUAAACAUCGAAAAAUAAAUAGUACUCCCUCCGUUCACUUUCAGUUGCCACAUUUUGACUUGACACACACAUUAAGAAAAUAAUUAUUUAUAUAGAUAUUUUACCAAAUUAUCCCCUAUUAAAUGAUAGCUUGAAAAUGAUUUGAAAAAAUACUCCCUUUGUCCAACAAUACUUAUCCACUAUUGACUUUGCACACUUCUUAAGAAACUAUAAAUAGAAGAGUAAUUUGACUAUAUCAUCCUUUGUAUAUACUAAUAAAGACAAUGUCUUGAAAAAUGUAAUAGGAAAAUUACUAUAAUUAAUGAUAAGGGUAAUUAGGAAGUAAGUGUAAAAUUAUUCAUUGAUUUUAUAAAGUGGAUAAGUAUUGUUGGAUAUCCCAAAAUAAUAUAGUAGUCAACUAUUGUUAGACGGAGGGAGUAAGUAUUUAAUGCUAAAGGUAAAACAUGUAAACAAAUAUUUUUUUUUCUUGAUAUGUCAAAAGUGAUCAGUAAAAAUAAAAAUCUAUUUUAGAAAUAAGUGACAAGUAAAAGUGAACGGAGGGAGUAUUUAAUAGUAAGAGUAAAAUAAACACAACAUAGUAAAUUACUCAUUAGUUUUAUAAACAAAACAUGUAUGGUUGGACAUCUCAAAAUAAUAUAGUAAACAAGUAAGAUGGACGGAGGGAGUAUUUCUUAAUUCUAAAAAUAUUUGGUGAGCUAAUAUUUAUUAUACCUAUUAAAAUAAAUAAUUUGUCUGAACAACACAUUAAAUUAAAUAUAAAUACUAAUAACUUAGAACAAUAAAGUAAAUAACAAAUAACUAGCAAUAAAAAGUAAUUUGUUUUGAAUAGGAUUAAGCAAUUAAGUAAUUUAAAUUAAAGUAGAUACCAAAUAAAUAAAAAUAAAUUAAUACAUGUACUGCAGUGCAUUGCAGAUAAACCAAGCAAAUAAAUUAAUCAAAUUUAACAAGAAAAUAAUCAACAGCCAUUGUCUUGCCGUCAAAGAAAAUAUUUAGCAAAAAAAUUAAGCAGAGAAGUUAAAAGUAUCUAAGCAAUUAGCAAGAUACAAUUUUCUUAGAAAAAAACUGAUAGUGUUUUUCCCUUUUUACAUAUAUUAAUUAUUUAAUUUGUUGUUAAUUAAUAUACAAGUAAAUUAUACAAUCCCUCGUAAAUUUUGUAAAUAUUAAUUACAAAAACACAACAAACACCAUAUAGAUUAAUAUAUGAAUAAUUGUCAUAUAACAUUUGAAAACUUACCAAUUAACUAUGGUAUAAAAUUAAUAUAUAAAUAAUUUUUUAUUCUAUAUAUAAAUAAAAUAUAAUAUAAAAUAAAUAUAUAAAUAAUUUCGUAGCUUAAAUCAGCUACCAAACCGUUCUAACUGGUUUAUGUAGAAUAAAAUGAAAUCCCCCGAUAUUAAAUAUGACUCGAGGGUCUAGGUAAUUGGGUGCCGAUUUCUGAGAAUUAGUAAUUAUUAUACUAAUUAAUCUUUUUUUAAAAUUUUAAAAAACUAUUAAAUACAUAAAAAAAUAUUAGACCAAAAAUAAUUAAACUCACACUACUCGUAUAAUUAUUUUUUACGGUACUACUCAACUGCAAAUGAAAUAUUAUAUAUGUGUUUGAUUAAUGUACAAAUUCAACAGAGAAUUUCUCAAUUAAAAUUGAAAAAUCAAAUACUCUUAUUAUCAUAUUUUUCAGAUAUUAUAUUUUACAAUAUAAAUUUAUUUUUUCACCCACAAUACAAAUUUUAUAACCUAUACUCCUAUAGUAUUAUUUACAUGUGGUUUAUGAAAAUUAUAUUUUAAAUUUUAUAAUAUUACUCAUACUUUUCAAAACGCAUUGAAAAAAGCACGAUAACAAGUUUUAGAAAAAAAUGAUGCAAGUGGUGGAGGACACAGUAACGUUUGCUUAAAUAAGUGGUUCUCAUACUUUUUCAAAAUGCGUUAAAUAAAGCGUGACGUCAAGCUGUAGAAGAAAAGGAUAUGUGGAAAUGGUGGGACACACACUCCGUUCACAUAAAUAAGUGUUGCUCAUACUUUUCAAAACGCGUUAAGAAAGACGUGAUACCAAGGUGUAGAAGAAAAAGAUGGAAGUGGUGGAGGACACAACAACGUUGCACAAAUAAGUGAUGCUCAUAUUUUCAAAACACGUUAAGAAAAGCGCGACAUCAAAAGAUAGAAAUAGUGGAGGACACACUCCGUUUACAUAAAUAAGAGGUUGAUGGGGGUUAGGAUUGAAUUAUGAAAUAUGUACCGAAGCUAAUUGGUAGUUGGUGAAAAAAAUAGUAUUAAAUGUAAUAUAAUUCGUUACUAUUAUACGAAUUAUUUCAAAAGAUUUAUGUGGAUGAUAUGAAAUUACUUUGAGCCAAUGCAAAAUAUUUUAUUGUAACCCUUUUAGUACGUAGUCAUCCAACUUGAUAAUCAUAACGUCUUUCCUUUGUCCCAAAGUUAUAUAUUUUUGAUAAUAUUUAUUUUCACUCUUUCAUCGUCUCAUCUUCUCUAUAAAUGACCAAGAACAAUCACCAAAGGAAAACACUAUUCUUACCAAGUGUCUUGUUGGUUUUGUUGAUUCAAUUUUGACAUUUUCAAUAAAUAUUGUAAUCUGUGAGAAAGUGGGUGAUAGACUUUGAUGUUCCAAGAUAUAUUAGCAUAAAUAAAAAUGACUAUAUCAUACACUCAAAUUGAGAAAGGAGAAGAAAUUGUUUAUCUUGGUGACUCAAGAACAAUUAAAGUUUUGAAAAAAGAAAAAGUUCUUCUCAAAUUCACAUCUAAUCGAAUCUUGACAUUGAGUAAUGUAUUACAUGUUCCUAAUAUUCGUAUCAAAUUGCUUUAUGUGAAAUUAUUAGAAAAAGUUGGUAUGAGUGUUUCUUUUGAAGAUAAUGAAGUUAUAUUGAUCAAAAAUAAAUUUUUGUGGACUAUAAAUUUUGUAAUUAUGACUUAUUUCCGCUUAAUAUUUAUGAUAUUUUUUGUAAUAAUAUAUCAGCUUCUGCUCAUAUGAUUGGGUCUAUUUCAUUAUGACAUGCUAAAUUAAAACACGUUAACAUCUAAUAUAUAAGCUAAUAUUUUAUUUAAAUUUAUCUGAUGAACAUUUAUUUAUUUUUUAAAAUUUAAAUUGUAUAUUUAUUAUGUUUACGAAUUAAUAAACUAUGCACAACUAAAUGCUAAGAAAAAAAUCUUAAUCAUUUAAUGUGUUAAUUUGGAAAUAACAUUUUAAUAAUUCAGAUAUGUAUUUAUGUUCAAAUGUCUUUAUGUUAAUGAAAAUACAUACAACUUAAAAAUGUAUAUUGUUAUGAUUCUUGAACACUACUUGAAAGGGUAAAUGCCCUUUAGUCAAAUAACACUACUUUAAAAUUAAAAUUAGGGGUAAAGGUCAGAUAUACCUCUUAACUUUUAAUAAUGAUAUUCAUAUACUCUUCGUUAUACUUUGAGAUUGUAUAUACUCUUAUCGUAAUACUUUUGAAUCAUUUAUACCCUUAAGUCAAACAGAACAACAAUCUCAAUGAUUUACUUCAUUUUUAUUAUAUUUUUUAUCUAAAAUUAAAAGACCCGCCUAAUUAUUCAUUUAUUUUACCCGAUCCAAAUAAAAAAAACUGACCCAAUCUAAAAAUAUCCUUACAAAACAUUCGAUUCAAUCUCAUCUAUUCCUAUUCUCAAUAAUCAGAAUAUCAAGUGUUUUCAUGGUUGAAAAUUCAUUAACACAUUUCAAAUCUUCAAAAUUUUUUGGCAAAGAUAAAAAAAACAAGAAAAAAAAGAAGAUGAGUAAAGCAACAAGAUCGAGGCUGUUAGGGUUUUGAGGUGGUGGUGAAUUGUAAUAGGGUGGAGGCGAGUGAGCAAAAAGUGGAGAAUUUGGCAGUGGAGAAAAUCAGAUAAUUUUUUCUAUCUUUUUUUUUUUUUAUACCUUUAUUGGUUUGGAUUUUUUUAGUAUGGGUAUUAUGCGGGUAAAAUAAAUGGAUAGUUGGGUGAAUUUUUUAAAUUUUGAAAAAAAAUAAAGUAAUCGAAUAAAUUAUUGAGAUCGUGCCAUGUAUCUCUCCGGAGUAUAAAUAACAUAACAUAAAAGUAUGAAAGUAAGAGAACCUCAAGAUAUAAUGAUAGAUAUAUGCAUACCAUUUCUAAAAGUCUGGAUUAUAUUUAACAUUUUUCAAUGCAUACUCUUUUUGAAUGAAUAACAGUCAGUAAAGUAUAUUAAGAAAUAAUUUUCUUAAUGGGCGUAAUGGGUUCCAAUAACAUCUUAAACCACAUUUAAAAUGGAUUCAAUUUAGUAUUAUAUGAUUUAGAUGUUUUAAAGUUUUUUUUCUUUUUAAUAAAAUGAUUUUUUGACUCACUAGUUUAAUGUGAAAGACGAAGGAACCAUAUUGAUCCGAGGUAAUAUAUUCCCCAACUUUGUCAUUUAGAGUUGAUAUAUCCUUAUUAUGAAAGUUGUUCAUAUACAUACCCUACUGUUAUACAAAUGACUCGCAUAUACCCUUUUCAUCUAACAAAAGUGAAAAAAAGUUAAUUUUCAUUAUUUAAAAAAAAAAUAUAAUCCAUAUGAGGUAUAUUUGAUCUGUCUCACAUGUAUUUUUUAACUUGUUUAUUUCAAUGAAUAAUUUAAAUUUAUUAUUUUAAUGAUCAAAUUUAUUUAUGUUUCAAUAAUUUUUUUGUAAAAUUUAUUAUGGAUGUCCCAUUUUUUUUACUAAUAUAAAAACUCAAUUACAAUAUAGCCGAAAAAUAGUUUAAAAUUAUAACAUAGCCACAAAAAAUUAGUUUUAAUUUUUUUUUUGUUAUACUAAAGAAUGAAAGAAAAAAAAAUAAGAAUGAGAAAAUCAAACAAUUAUAAUCAAAGAAAUCAAAAUAUGAUUUAUAUAUGAAAAAGAUUAAAAUAUACUUUGAAUAUAUACCCUUACAUGAUUUUUUUAAAAAAUUAAAAGUAAAAAAUGUAAAUUUAAAACUAAUUUUUUUCACUUCCGUUAGAUGCAGGGUAUAACCCUGUGAGCUCCUUUUGUAUAGGUAAGGAUAUAUGUGAGUCAUUUGUGUAACGAUAAGGGUAUAUAUAAACCAUAAAAAAUAUCAAAAUUGAAGGGUAUAUCAUGUCAUUUUUCCUUUGAUUCUAUAAAUGUGAAAUUGUUUUCUUUUUUUUCAUAGGAAAAUUGCCUCCACAAACAACCUCCUACAAGUGAAUUCACAGCAUGCAACUUGGCAAUUAUACCACUUUUGUUUUAAUUUGUUUGUGUGGUAAAUUUUGACAUUUUUUUUAAUCUGAUUAAAAAAAACAAAUAAGAACAAAUAAAUUGAAAUAAAGAUGUACUCAGUAAUUACCUUCGUCUUUGUGCCCCUGUUCAGGUGACGAUGAUGGUGUUCCCAUUCUCCCCGUCAGAAUUUUUGAAUUGAUAGCUUAAAUAGACAUUCGCGUGGUACAUAUUUAGGGAUUACAUACCGCGCACCCUCCAGCGCGACAAUCUUCCGUUGAUGGAUCUGAUAUACACUGCACCAUGGCAUACAACUUCUGAUCGAGACAACGAUAAUAGUGUAAUUUCAUCAAAACUUUCAGCAUAUAUUUCAGAUCAUUUGUAGCUUUGUGUGCUAUAAACAAUCCAAUAAUAAGAUAGAGACGGUUAAUUAAGAAGUCUCAUAUCGAUAGAGG